rnacentral:rRNA from 1 species
AUGCACAACAAGGCCCCCCACCCCAUCCUGUACCGUACUCCCAAUUCGCCGGCCAACAGAUCUGCAGCCAUGGAGAAGCAGAAGCUGCGCCGUCUCGUGCGAGGACCACGUAGGGCCGCCGGCGAGCUGACCGCCCUCAUAGUGGGCAGGCUGGACACCCGCACCGCGCUCUCCACCGCCGUCCUCGCUAGGCGCUGGGCGCGUGUUCCUCGUGACCUGCCCGCUCUCGACUUCAGGGUCAGCGACAUACUCCCGCCAGAGUACGAUCAGGCCGUCGCUCUCCGCGAGGACAACCUGCCGCCUGACCCGGCCAUGGCCGGGAUGCUCGACGGUUUCCUGGCGCGCUGCGAGAUGGGCAGCACGAGGGCGUUGGCCGACGGAGUCACCAGCUUCUUGGCAGCCGACUGUGACGGCGACGCACGUCGCCGCGUCAAGACCCUCCGGCUCGAGUUCUUCCCCACGGAUCACGGCGGCAUCAUCGAGCAUCUGAUCGCCGCCGCUGUCGGCUCGUGGGGCGUGGAAGAUCUGGAGAUGGUCGUCAGACCAGCGUCCGGCCAUCAUGAUGGGCCCGCCUACCCCUUCCCCGACGACUGCCUCGGCGACGGCGGCAGGUCGCGCCUGCGCAGCCUGGCGCUGGGCAACACCACGCUCCCGCCGCUGCACAGCUACGAGGCGCUCACCACGCUCGUCUUGCAAGGCGUGGCCGCGUCCACGCCCGUCGCCGUCUACGAGAGGCUGUUCAGCGACCUCACACGGCUUCAGGUGCUGCAUCUCAUAUCAUGCAGCUGCACGGCGGACCUCGACCAUCUGGUGGUCGACGCACCGGGUUCAGCCAUGAGGGAGCUCGUCGUGGAAGAAUGCGCGUUCUCAAGGAUCACGGUGCGCGCCCUCCCAAUGCUCGCCCGCCUGGCGUGCAUAGGCACGACCGUGGUGCUCAGGCUCGACUCCGUUCCGAACCUCACGCAGGUGAACCUCACAUUCUGGGGGAGCAAGAAGCCCUCGAACUUCCUCGGGAAGGCCCCAGCAGGGACGACGAGCCUCGUCCUCCGGUUCACCAGGCCAAGUAGAUGGGUGGUGCCGAUGCACCUGGCCACGCCGUUCCUCGGCCUGAAGAGGCUCCUCGUCGCCGACCUGCCUUCCAACUGGGACGUCUCGUGGCCGCGCAUGCUCGUGCUUGCCGCGCGGUCGCUCGAGGUCCUGCACAGCCAUGUGGCUCACUCCGACGAGAAGCAGGGAGAGGAGAUAGCGUGGUGGCUCUGGCCGAGACCGAAGCGGAAGCUGCGGCAUCGGAACAUGAAGGAGGUGGUCAUGAUUGGAUUCACGCAGACAUCACGCCAGAUAAAGUUCCUGAGGGAUCUUGUGAGGAUGUGCAGAUCUUUACAACGCGUUGUUCUGCUCAGGGAUGGCCAAGUGCAGUACAAUGGACUCUGGGAUUGGAAGAUGGUCGGCCAGCCAGAAUGUCCAUGGAGCACUCAUGAUAAAAUGGCUGUAACGAAAAUGAUCGAGCCUGCGUCCAGGCCUCUGGUCGAUGUAAUCUUGGGAUGA